rnacentral:rRNA from 1 species
UUAAGUUAUUAAGGGCGCACGGUGGAUGCCUUGGCACUAGAAGCCGAUGAAGGACGUUACUAACGACGAUAUGCUUUGGGGAGCUGUAAGUAAGCUUUGAUCCAGAGAUUUCCGAAUGGGGAAACCCAGCAUGAGUUAUGUCAUGUUAUCGAUAUGUGAAUACAUAGCAUAUCAGAAGGCACACCCGGAGAACUGAAACAUCUUAGUACCCGGAGGAAGAGAAAGAAAAUUCGAUUCCCUUAGUAGCGGCGAGCGAAACGGGAAGAGCCCAAACCAACAAGCUUGCUUGUUGGGGUUGUAGGACACUCUAUACGGAGUUACAAAGGACGACAUUAGACGAAUCAUCUGGAAAGAUGAAUCAAAGAAGGUAAUAAUCCUGUAGUCGAAAAUGUUGUCUCUCUUGAGUGGAUCCUGAGUACGACGGAACACGUGAAAUUCCGUCGGAAUCUGGGAGGACCAUCUCCUAAGGCUAAAUACUCUCUAGUGACCGAUAGUGAACCAGUACCGUGAGGGAAAGGUGAAAAGCACCCCGGAAGGGGAGUGAAAUAGAACCUGAAACCGUGUGCUUACAAGUAGUCAGAGCCCGUUAAUGGGUGAUGGCGUGCCUUUUGUAGAAUGAACCGGCGAGUUACGAUUUGAUGCAAGGUUAAGCAGUAAAUGUGGAGCCGGAGCGAAAGCGAGUCUGAAUAGGGCGUUUAGUAUUUGGUCGUAGACCCGAAACCAGGUGAUCUACCCUUGGUCAGGUUGAAGUUCAGGUAACACUGAAUGGAGGACCGAACCGACUUACGUUGAAAAGUGAGCGGAUGAACUGAGGGUAGCGGAGAAAUUCCAAUCGAACCUGGAGAUAGCUGGUUCUCUCCGAAAUAGCUUUAGGGCUAGCCUCAAGUGAUGAUUAUUGGAGGUAGAGCACUGUUUGGACGAGGGGCCCCUCUCGGGUUACCGAAUUCAGACAAACUCCGAAUGCCAAUUAAUUUAACUUGGGAGUCAGAACAUGGGUGAUAAGGUCCGUGUUCGAAAGGGAAACAGCCCAGACCACCAGCUAAGGUCCCAAAAUAUAUGUUAAGUGGAAAAGGAUGUGGCGUUGCCCAGACAACUAGGAUGUUGGCUUAGAAGCAGCCAUCAUUUAAAGAGUGCGUAAUAGCUCACUAGUCGAGUGACACUGCGCCGAAAAUGUACCGGGGCUAAACAUAUUACCGAAGCUGUGGAUUGUCCUUUGGACAAUGGUAGGAGAGCGUUCUAAGGGCGUUGAAGCAUGAUCGUAAGGACAUGUGGAGCGCUUAGAAGUGAGAAUGCCGGUGUGAGUAGCGAAAGACGGGUGAGAAUCCCGUCCACCGAUUGACUAAGGUUUCCAGAGGAAGGCUCGUCCGCUCUGGGUUAGUCGGGUCCUAAGCUGAGGCCGACAGGCGUAGGCGAUGGAUAACAGGUUGAUAUUCCUGUACCACCUAUAAUCGUUUUAAUCGAUGGGGGGACGCAGUAGGAUAGGCGAAGCGUGCGAUUGGAUUGCACGUCUAAGCAGUAAGGCUGAGUAUUAGGCAAAUCCGGUGCUCGUUAAGGCUGAGCUGUGAUGGGGAGAAGACAUUGUGUCUUCGAGUCGUUGAUUUCACACUGCCGAGAAAAGCCUCUAGAUAGAAAAUAGGUGCCCGUACCGCAAACCGACCAGGUAGUCAAGAUGAGAAUUCUAAGGUGAGCGAGCGAACUCUCGUUAAGGAACUCGGCAAAAUGACCCCGUAACUUCGGGAGAAGGGGUGCUCUUUAGGGUUAACGCCCAGAAGAGCCGCAGUGAAUAGGCCCAAGCGACUGUUUAUCAAAAACACAGGUCUCUGCUAAACCGUAAGGUGAUGUAUAGGGGCUGACGCCUGCCCGGUGCUGGAAGGUUAAGAGGAGUGGUUAGCUUCUGCGAAGCUACGAAUCGAAGCCCCAGUAAACGGCGGCCGUAACUAUAACGGUCCUAAGGUAGCGAAAUUCCUUGUCGGGUAAGUUCCGACCCGCACGAAAGGCGUAACGAUUUGGGCACUGUCUCAACGAGAGACUCGGUGAAAUCAUAGUACCUGUGAAGAUGCAGGUUACCCGCGACAGGACGGAAAGACCCCGUGGAGCUUUACUGUAGCCUGAUAUUGAAAUUCGGCACAGCUUGUACAGGAUAGGUAGGAGCCUUUGAAACGUGAGCGCUAGCUUACGUGGAGGCGCUGGUGGGAUACUACCCUAGCUGUGUUGGCUUUCUAACCCGCACCACUUAUCGUGGUGGGAGACAGUGUCAGGCGGGCAGUUUGACUGGGGCGGUCGCCUCCUAAAAGGUAACGGAGGCGCUCAAAGGUUCCCUCAGAAUGGUUGGAAAUCAUUCAUAGAGUGUAAAGGCAUAAGGGAGCUUGACUGCGAGACCUACAAGUCGAGCAGGGUCGAAAGACGGACUUAGUGAUCCGGUGGUUCCGCAUGGAAGGGCCAUCGCUCAACGGAUAAAAGCUACCCCGGGGAUAACAGGCUUAUCUCCCCCAAGAGUUCACAUCGACGGGGAGGUUUGGCACCUCGAUGUCGGCUCAUCGCAUCCUGGGGCUGUAGUCGGUCCCAAGGGUUGGGCUGUUCGCCCAUUAAAGCGGUACGCGAGCUGGGUUCAGAACGUCGUGAGACAGUUCGGUCCCUAUCCGUCGUGGGCGUAGGAAAUUUGAGAGGAGCUGUCCUUAGUACGAGAGGACCGGGAUGGACAUACCUCUGGUGUACCAGUUGUCGUGCCAACGGCAUAGCUGGGGAGCUAGGUGUGGACGGGAUAAGUGCUGAAAGCAUCUAAGCAUGAAGCCCCCCUCAAGAUGAGAUUUCCCAACUUCGGUUAUAAGAUCCCUCAAAGAUGAUGAGGUUAAUAGGUUCGAGGUGGAAGCAUGGUGACAUGUGGAGCUGACGAAUACUAAUCGAUCGAAGACUUAAUCAA